AUGGCUCAGGAGUGAACGCUGGCGGCGUGCUUAACACAUGCAAGUCGAACGGACCAUAUUCGUAUGGUUAGUGGCAGACGGGUGCGUAACACGUAGGUGACCUGCCCUCGAGUGGGGAAUAACUCGACUAACGUCGAGCUAAUACCGCAUACGUUCGCUCCUUCGUUGGGGUGAGUAAAGCAGUAAUGCGCUUGGGGAUGGGCCUGCGGCGGAUUAGGUAGUUGGUGGGGUAACGGCCUACCCAAGCCGAUGAUCCGUAGGGGGCGUGAGAGCGUGGCCCCCCACAUUGGCACUGAGACACGGGCCAAACUCCUACGGGAGGCAGCAGUGAGGAAUAUUGCACAAUGGGCGAAAAAGCCUGAUGCAGCAACGCCGCGUGAGGGACGAAGGCCUUCGGGUCGUAAACCUCUUUUCUGGGGGACGAGACAGGACGGUACCCCAGGAAUAAGUCUCGGCUAACUACGUGCCAGCCGCCGC
rnacentral:rRNA from 1 species